rnacentral:rRNA from 1 species
AGGAUGAACGCUAGCGACAGGCUUAACACAUGCAAGUACGAGGGGCGAGCGAUAGAAGUAGCAAUACUUUGGUGGCGACCGGCGCACGGGUGAGUAACGCGUAUGCAACCUACCUGUCAGAGGGGACGUAACCCGGCGAAAGUCGGACUAAUACCGCAUAAAACAGGGGCACCGCAUGGUGAUAUUUGUUAAAGAAAUUCGCUGAUAGAUGGGCAUGCGUUCCAUUAGGUAGUUGGUGAGGUAACGGCUCACCAAGCCGACGAUGGAUAGGGGAACUGAGAGGUUGGUCCCCCACACUGGUACUGAGACACGGACCAGACUCCUACGGGAGGCAGCAGUGAGGAAUAUUGGUCAAUGGGCGGGAGCCUGAACCAGCCAAGUCGCGUGAAGGAAAAGAAGGAUCUAUGGUUCGUAAACUUCUUUUGCGAGGGGAAUAAAGUGCAGGACGUGUCCUGUUUUGUAUGUACCCUGAGAAUAAGGAUCGGCUAACUCCGUGCCAGCAGCAGC